rnacentral:rRNA from 1 species
UACGUAGGGGGCAAGCGUUAAUCGGAAUUAUUGGGCGUAAAGCGCACGCAGGCGGUCUGUUAAGUCAGCUGUGAAAUCCCCGGGCUUAACCUGGGAACUGCAUUUGAAACUGGCAGGCUUGAGUCUCGUAGAGGGGGGUAGAAUUCCAGGUGUAGCGGUGAAAUGCGUAGAGAUCUGGAGGAAUACCUGUGGCGAAGGCGGCCCCCUGGACGAAGACUGACGCUCAGGUGCGAAAGCGUGGGGAGCAAACAGG